rnacentral:rRNA from 1 species
GAAAUGCGCUGAUAUCAGGACCAACCCUGAUGCCGAAGGCAGGUCUCUGGGCUGUCACUGACGCUGAGGAGCGAAAGCAUGCCGAGCGAUCAGGAUUAGAUAUCAUGGUAAUCCAUGCGGUAAACGUUGGGCAUUAGGUGUGGUCGACAUUUCACGUCAUCCGCGCCGUACAUCACGCAUUAAGUUCUCCGCUUGGGGAGUACGGUCGCAAGGUUAACACUCAAAGGAAUUGACGGAGGCCCGCACAAGCGGCGGAGCAUGCGGAUUAAUUCGAUGCAAUGUGAAGAACCUUUACAAGGCUUGACAUUCACCGGCCCGCCCCAGAGAUGGGGUUUCCCUUCGGGGUGGUGGACAGGUGGUGCACAGUUGUCGUCAGCUCGUGUCGUGAGAUGUUGGGUUAAGUCCCGCAACGAGCGCAACCCUCGUUCUAUGUUGCCAGCACGUGAUGGUGGGGACUCCUAGGAGACUGCCGGGGUCAACUCGGAGGAAGGUGGGGAUGACGUCAAAUCAUCAUGCCCCUUAUGUCGGGGGCUUCACGCAUGCUACAAUGGCCGGUACAAAGGGUUGCGAUACUGUGAGGUGGAAAUAAUACCAAAAAGCCGGUCUCAGUUCGGCAUGAGGUCCGCAACUCGCCCUCAUGAAGUCGGAGUCGGUAGUAAUCGCAGAUCAGCACCGUUUCGCAGAAUACUUUCCCGGGCCUGGUACACACCGCCCGUCAAGUCUCGAAAGUUGGUCACACCUGAACCCGGCGGCCUGGCCCCCAGUGGGACUUGUCGCGUAG